UACGUAGGUGGCAAGCGUUGUCCGGAAUUAUUGGGCGUAAAGCGCGCGCAGGUGGUUUCUUAAGUCUGAUGUGAAAGCCCACGGCUCAACCGUGGAGGGUCAUUGGAAACUGGGGAACUUGAGUGCAGGAGAGAAGAGUGGAAUUCCACGUGUAGCGGUGAAAUGCGUAGAUAUCUGGAGGAACACCGGUGGCGAAGGCGGCGUUCUGGACUGCAACUGACACUGAUAAACGAAAGCCAGGGUAGCAAACGGG
rnacentral:rRNA from 1 species